rnacentral:lncRNA from 1 species
UCAUCAUCAUCAUCUUCACUCUCUCAUCACUACCUUUAAAAACAACACCUAAUAUCAUCAUACCCAUAAAUCUUCUAACAACAACACAUAACAUUGAGUUAAAAUUCUGCAUAAAUCUUCAUAAAUCCAAACCUUCAUCGUAGGAACAUUGAGAGUUGUUUCCCUCAAUAAAAUCCAGCAACAAACAACAAUUGAUUAAAUCCAUAAGAAAAUCCUCAAACCCAAAUGAAAUUGAUUGAAUCCAUGAAUCAACAACAACAACAACAAUUGAAUCCAUGAAUCAACACAACACAUUUCCGAGAUCCUCGUCAUAGCUGACAGUUUAGAAGGAGAUUUUCAAUUUACAGUAGCAAGGAAUUUGGAAUUAGAAUUAGGAGUGGAUCUCUGUGUUUCUUCUUAACAUCUAUCAUCUUUUUUCUUCAUUGAAUAUGGAAUUGAUGAAUGGAAGAGGAAGAAGAGUUGGGAUAAAAGAAUUGGAAUGAUAUGAUUUUUUGGUGAAGGACAAUCAGAGAAAAAGAGUUAGGAGAGAUUUGCUGCACUUUUGCUUGAAUAUUAGGUGUUGAAUGAUUUAGGGAUUUGCUGCAAAAACAUGAUGAAGGAAGAAGCAAAGAUCCAAGAUAAAAAUUCAUAAAUGGGCAUCGAAAUAAUGGUUUUUUGAGAGAAGAA